rnacentral:rRNA from 1 species
AUUGAACGCUGGCGGCAUGCUUUACACAUGCAAGUCGAACGGUAACAGGCCUUCGGGUGCUGACGAGUGGCGAACGGGUGAGUAAUGCAUCGGAACGUGCCCAAUCGUGGGGGAUAACGUAGCGAAAGUUACGCUAAUACCGCAUAAGCCCUGAGGGGGAAAGCAGGGGAUCGCAAGACCUUGCGCGAAUGGAGCGGCCGAUGUCAGAUUAGCUAGUUGGUGGGGUAAAGCCUACCAAGGCGACGAUCUGUAGCGGGUCUGAGAGGAUGAUCCGCCACACUGGGACUGAGACACGGCCCAGACUCCUACGGGAGGCAGCAGUGGGGAAUUUUGGACAAUGGGCGCAAGCCUGAUCCAGCCAUGCCGCGUGCGGGACGAAGGCC